rnacentral:misc_RNA from 1 species
GUUAAGUUAGUGCAUGAUGCAUAAACAUGACAAGCAAUGAAUUGAACACAAGAUAUCCAGUAAGAAACUAAGGCUUGGUAAGACAUAAGAGAAUGUAAUGUAAUAAAAUAUUUCAUUGAAUUUCAAUCAAUAUUCAAUUACACUACAUUUCAUUUCAUCUUACCAAAUGUAAUGAUAUCAUAAAUGCAUAAUGCAACGCUGGGAAAAUGAGAGUGAUACCACAAUGCUGGCUAGUGCCACUAAAUUUUCAUCAUAAAUGCAUAGACUCAACCCAACUCAACUAAGCUU